rnacentral:tRNA from 1 species
GGAAGGGAUACAUGCCCGGUGGCAUGUCCGGACUUCAAAUCCGGGAGGGGCUGACAGACGGUCUUUGGUGGGUUCGACUCCCAUUCUCUUCCGCCA